GGUUGUAUAGCUGUGAAGUUGGUUAUUUAGGUUUAUUUGCCUUUUGCAUCAUGCUUAACGGAGUUUUAUAAAGUAUAUUUUUGUACCGAAAAACUCUGAUUUCAAAUUUAGUUGUUUAGAAUUAUUGUUAGACUUGGGUAAGGUUUGAUAAAUUAGAUUUGUGGUGUGAUAAGUGAGUCGUAGAGUUUUAUAACUGUUUAGUUGUUGGUUAUUUAGUAUUAUGUAUGUGGCUAUUAGGUCAUUUAUAAAUUUAUACAUUUGGUAUUGUUUGUAUUGUUUAUGAUAAGGUUAGAGGUACCUAGUUUUUGUUACAUUGUUAUAAAUAUUAUUUUAUUGGUUCGUGAUGUGUGUUAAUUUUUUGGACAACUAUGAAUUAUAUUUUGUUAUUGUAUUAUUGUUGAAUAAGUAAUUUUAUUGUGCUAUUUAUUUCUUGAGUUCUUUCCGUCUGUUUAUUAAAAACAUUUCUAACUUUAAUUAUAGUUGGUAGUACCUGCCCAAUGUUGGUUUAUUAAUGGCCGCAGUAUAUUGACUGUGCAAAGGUAGCAUAAUUAAUUGCCUUUUAAUUGGAGGCUUGUUUGAAUGGUUUGACGUGAUAGGUAUGAAUAUUUGGCAUUUUAUUGAAAUUGAUUUUGAGGGUUUAGAAUCCUUUAUGUUUAAUAAGACGGAAAGACCCUAGGAUCUUUUAUUUUUUGUUUGGGGCAAAUUGUGAUAUUUUAUGGAUAUUAUGACCCUAAGAUGUAUUGGUUUGUUGAGUUAAGUUACCCUAGGGAUAACAGUGUGAUGAUUAAUUAGAGAUCUUAUCGAAUUAAUUGUUUGCCACCUCGAUGUUGACUUAGGCUGUGAUCUUGGUGUAGUAGUUGAGAUUUUUGGUCUGUUCGACCUUUUUAGCCUCCAUGAGUUGAGUUAAGACCGGCGUAAGCCAGGUCGGUUCUUAUCUAUUGUAGAAGUUUAUCAGUACGAAAGGACAGUAGACUUUUUUGUU
rnacentral:rRNA from 1 species